UAUUAUUAGUUAGUGCAAGAUCGACUACGUCGACUAAAGUUCUAGGUAGAAUAAUGAUGAUGACAAUUUUUUACCUAUAUGUCUUGACCAAGUCUCGUGCCAGCAGUCGCGGUAAUACGUGGAAGACUAGUGUUAUUCAUCUUUAUUAGGUUUAAAGGGUACCUAGACGGUAUUUCUAGCCCAAAAUAGGGUACGGAUUUACUAUAGUUUUAUGUGAGGAGGGGAGUACUCGUGGAGUAGAGAUGAAAUUUUGUUAUACUAUGAGGUAACUGGUGGCGGCGAAAGCAACCUUCUAUGUAUAAACUGACGUUGAGGGACGAAGGCUUGGGUAGCAAAUAGGAUUAGAUACCCUAGUAGUCCAAGCAGACAAUUCUGAAUGCCAUAGAUUAGAUUAUUUUUGGUCUAUAAAUGAAAGUGUAAGCAUUCCACCUUAGGAGUAAUGUGGCAACACAGGAACUGAAAUCAUUAUACCGUUUCUGAAACCAGUAGUGAAGUAUGUUAUUUAAAUAGAUGGUCCACAAAAAACCUUACCACAACUUGAAUAUUUUUUUUUUAAUUAAUACAAGCGUUGCACGGCUGUCUUCAGUUAAUGUCGUGAGAUUUUGGUUAACUCCAUUAAUUAACGUAAACCCUUACUUUAUUUUUUUUU
rnacentral:rRNA from 1 species